rnacentral:misc_RNA from 1 species
GUGAUUAAAUCGAGCGUGUCUACAUUGACCGCUCACCCUUCUCACCAUCCACAUACACCUGUGCACUGUUUAGUCUGAGCCGGUUUUCCGGUCCAGGUUAUCAUUUCAUACAAACUCUAGUCUUAUGAAUGUAGACGUUUUAAUAACAUAAUA